rnacentral:lncRNA from 1 species
GUUGAUUAUAUUAAAGCUGAUUAACUCUAAAGCAUUAUCAUGAAGUAUGUUCUUAAAGUAUCUCCCAGACUUUGUAUUUGCUCUUUGUGGUAGUUUGUAUUUCUUCUCUAAAACAUAGUGCUUUUGGCAUAGACAAUGUUUCUCUUGAGUUAUGAUCUUUGUGAUUGUCAUUACAAUGCUAUCCAUUUCAUUGUUAUUCAUUCUUUUUGAUGAUAACAAAAAGGGGGAGAAAA